AAUGGCAGGUCAGCAUACUGCCGUGAAUACGUUCCCGGGCCUUGUACACACCGCCCGUCACACCAUGAGAGUUGGGAAUACCCGAAGCCUGUGAGCUAACUAUAUGAGGCAGCAGUCGAAGGUAGAAUCAAUGAUUGGGGUGAAGUCGUAACAAGGUACC
rnacentral:rRNA from 1 species